ACAAAGGCUCUUUUAAGAGCCACCCAUCUACAAACCAAAGAGUGC
rnacentral:ncRNA from 1 species